AUAGCGUAUAUUAAAGUUGUUGCAGUUAAAAAGCUCGUAGUUGAACUUCAGACCUGACCGGGCGGUCCGCCUAACGGUGUGUACUGUCUGGCCGGGCCUUACCUCUUGGUGAGCCGGCAUGCCCUUCACUGGGUGUGUCGGGGAACCAGGACCUUUACCUUGAGAAAAUUAGAGUGUUCAAAGCAGGCUUACGCCGGAAUACAUUAGCAUGGAAUAAUAAAAUAGGACGUGCGGUUCUAUUUUGUUGGUUUCUAGAGUCGCCGUAAUGAUUAAUAGGGAUAGUUGGGGGCAUUGGUAUUGAGUCGCUAGAGGUGAAAUUCUUGGAUUGACUCAAGACCGACUAUUG
rnacentral:rRNA from 1 species